CCUACGGGGGGCUGCAGUGAGGAAUAUUGGUCAAUGGACGAGAGUCUGAACCAGCCAAGUAGCGUGAAGGAUGACUGCCCUAUGGGUUGUAAACUUCUUUUAUAUGGGAAUAAAACGUUCCACGUGUGGGAUUUUGUAUGUACCAUAUGAAUAAGGAUCGGCUAACUCCGUGCCAGCAGCCGCGGUAAUACGGAGGAUCCGAGCGUUAUCCGGAUUUAUUGGGUUUAAAGGGAGCGUAGGUGGAUUGUUAAGUCAGUUGUGAAAGUUUGCGGCUCAACCGUAAAAUUGCAGUUGAAACUGGCAGUCUUGAGUACAGUAGAGGUGGGCGGAAUUCGUGGUGUAGCGGUGAAAUGCUUAGAUAUCACGAAGUACUCCGAUUGCGAAGGCAGUUCACUGGACUGCAACUGACACUGAGGCUCGAAAGUGUGGGUAUCAAACAGGAUUAGAUACCCUGGUAGUC
rnacentral:rRNA from 1 species